rnacentral:rRNA from 1 species
AGCAUGUGGUUUAAUUCGAUGAUACGCGAGGAACCUUACCUGGGCUCAAAUGUAUGUUGACGUAUUCUGAAAGGGAUACUUCUUCGGACAAUAUACAAGGUGCUGCAUGGUUGUCGUCAGCUCGUGCCGUGAGGUGUCGGGUUAAGUCCCAUAACGAGCGCAACCCCUAUCAUUAGUUGCCAUCAGGUCAAGCUGGGGACUCUAAUGAAACUGCCUACGCAAGUAGUGAGGAAGGUGGGGAUGACGUCAAAUCAGCACGGCCCUUACGUCCAGGGCUACACACGUGCUACAAUGGCCGGUACAAAGGGCAGCUACCUGGUGACAGGAUGCUAAUCUCAAAAGCCGGUCUCAGUUCGGAUCGGAGUCUGCAACCCGACUCCGUGAAGCUCGGAAUCGCUAGUAAUCGCGCAUCAGCCAUGGCGCGGUGAAUACGUUCCCGGGCCUU